GCGUCCUGUGAAGGACCAGUAUUCCGCAGAGCGUGUAGAUGGUUUGUUUUAAACCGUCUACACGCUGUUGAACCGCCGAGUGGGGCAGGAGGUUAGCGUGCUAAACAGUAGCCUGUUUGAGGCGCACGGUUUGGGCAUUCAAACUAUGUUCUGACUGCACGCAUCGUUUCAGUCAGCGUCUUAUUGAACGAGAUAGCGUUUGUUAUUUGGCCUCUAAACAUGUACACGAAGACCGUUUGGUUUGAGUGGUCCAAACAUUUUGUGUUGCAACUUUAGCCACGUGCAUUAGUGAAGCAGCGGCUUGUUGUGUGGGAACGUUUCCAUCAAAGUGGUACUAACGACGAGACCUCCAUGAAGAAGACGGCACUUUAUUGUCGACGGUGCAGCAGCAUAUCGCCAUCACCUGGUCCGUUGGACUCCCCGACGUCAAGAAGUCCGAAGCAUCUGGUUUGUGUUACGUGAACGACAUUGUCCAAGACAUCGGGGCUGGAAAGGGCAAAUACUACGCAGUGAAUGACCCACUCAGAGAUGGUAUCAACGAUAAGUCGUUACGAAGCCGCCUUUAAACCGAUCUUGGCUAAAUAAUGGAGAUGUCCCAGCCGAGCGCAGUGGUCCUUCAGUGAGGAGCCGAUUGAACGUCACCAUUAAAGGUGUGAAAAGUAAUGGAUUUAACGUCUUUCACAGGUAUUGACAAAGGAGUGACACCAACUGGACAAAUUCAGUACAAACACGAUUGAUCGAAACAGUCUUAGAAGUGAUUUGAUUGCAUUGUGUAUGCAGUUUCAGUAAAUGGUCAUGCUAAAGAGUUUUAGCAUUUUGUUGAACCUGCAACCUUAUUGUUGAGAAAUAUCCACAUGUUCCCCAUCAGGUGGAGUUUCUUAGUGCACUUCAAUGCUUUUGUUAUUGAGCGUUUAACAUGAUGUUGUGUACUGUUCUGUUCAUUGUGAAAGUGUUCUGGUUGGUUUUUUUAACUUAGUUUGAACUUAGUUUUUACAUAACAAACUAAACUUAAAAAACACUUAAGUUAAACUAAAAAAAAA